rnacentral:misc_RNA from 1 species
UGAGGUAAAGAGUCACACACCGGUAAUGGAAUCAUUGUUACAGAUACAAGUUUCCAACAAGUGUUCAGCGCAAGAUCUCGUUUUGCAAUGCGAGGAAUGUGAAAAUUAUUCUGUGUGUACAUGUCGAUUAUGUGAUGCCGUAUUUUGCAGACUACAUUUUGGAAGUCAUAUGGACGCUAAACAUAAACAUUGUAAAACAAAACCUGACAGUUCUACCUGUAAAAAACAUUCUCUCCAGUUUAAGCACUACUGCAGAAGCUGUGUGAAGCCAAUAUGUCAUGACUGCAUGCGAUACGAAGAUCAUUCUACCCAUGGCCUCAGUAGUCCAGUGGCCAUGAUGGAGUAUUUUAGAGAAAGCAUUUUCAAUGAAAAUGAAGAACUCAAGAAUAUCAUAAAACCAUUUUAUAACACGUUACUUGACUUUAUUGUUAAAAGACAAUCAGAGAUGCCCCGGAGCUAUACUAAAGCAAGAGAAAAUAUAAACGAAUUUGGACGUAAAAUGCACGAACAGGUGAAUUGCGCAGUAAAGCAUUAUAUAGAAAUUCUGGAAGUCAAUGAAAAAGAACAGUUGGGACAUGUUCAGAACUAUUUGAAAUUUUUUCAACAAAGGAUAGAUGAAAUAGAAAAGACAUUAGAAGAAAAUUCACAGUUGCUACAGAAGAGUGAUUCUUUUGAUCUCUUGACGUCUUUUGAAUCCUCUCUAGCAUACUUUCAUACUUAUCCUGACUUAUCUGAAUUCAAAAUGCCAGUGUUCCAUCCUAAUAUACCCGAUUCUAUGACAAUUAUGAACCUUGCUGGUGACAUAGAUUAUCCAACAGGAACAGACGUUCCCCUUUCUUUAAAUUAUAAACAAGUUCAGUUAUCACAAAGCCACCUUUUAAAACGUCCUUCCGUUUUACAAAAGUCUGUCGGUUCCAAUUUAGAUAUACUGGACCUUUCCUGUCUUCAGUCUGAUGGAGUUCUCACUGUUGGGAAAGAUAAACAGCUCAAAAGGUUUCAGUUUACAUCGCGCGAACUCUAUCAUGUUCAAACUAACGAACUGGAAUGCAAAAGUCACUACAUGGCUAUUUCACCGAAAUGUUCCAUCUAUUUUAGUGAUAGAAAGAACAGAUCAGUUAAGAAAUAUGGGAGCUUAUACUGUCACCAAUUGACUACCGUUCUAGACUUUGAUGAUUUAGAACCAAGAGGAUUAACAUUUACUCCAUCUAGCCAAUUGUUGGUCUGUCUCUACAGCAAAAAACGUUCCUUUAUAACGCGAUUUGUUAACGACAACAAACUGGUUCAGGAAAUUGAAUAUAAUGAAAUAGGGAUUCAGGACAAAUUUAAUUCUGAUGAGGUAAAAAGACAAAAGCAGAAAAUGGAAUCAUUGUUUCACAUAGACGUUUCCAACAAAUGUGCUGCUCAAGAUGUUGUAUUACAAUGCGAAGAAUGUGGAAAAAAUUCUGAGUGUACAUGUCGAUACUGUGAUGCCGUACUUUGCAGACUACAUUUUGGAAGUCAUAUGAACGCUAAACAUAAACAUUGUAAAACAAAACCUGACAGUUCGACAUGUAAAAAGCAUUCUCUCCAGUUUAAGCAUUACUGCAGAAGCUGUGUGAAGCCAAUAUGUAAUGACUGCAUGCGAUACGAAGACCAUUCUGCCCAUGGCCUCAGUAGUCCAGCGGCCAUGAUGGAGUACUUUAAAGCAAGCAUUUCCAUGGAAAACGAAGAACUCAAGAAUAUCAUAAAACCAUUUUAUAAAACGUUACUUGACUUUAUUGUUAAAAGACACUCAGAGAUACCCCGGAGCUAUAAUGUUGCAAGGGAAAAUAUAAGCGAAUUUGGACGUAAAAUGCACGAACAGGUGGAUUGCGCAGUAAAACAUUAUACAGAAAUUCUGGAAGCCAAUGAAAAAGAGCAGUUAAGACAUGUUCAGGACUAUCUGAAAUUCUAUCAACAAAGGAUAGAUGAAAUAGAAAAGACAUUAGAAGAAAAUGCACAGUUGCUACAGAAGAAUGAUUCGUUUGAUCUUUUGACGUCUUAUGAAUCCUCUCUUGCGUACUUUCAUACUUAUCCUGACUUAUCUGAAUUCGAAAUGCCAGUGUUCCAACCGAACAUACCAAAAUAUAAAACAAUUCUACAACUCGCUGGUAAUAUUGAAUAUCCUUCAAGGUCAGACGUUCCUCUUUCUUUAAAAAGAAACCAAUUUCAGUUGUCGAAAAGCCAUCUUUUGAAACACCCUAGCGUUUUGCAAAAGUCUGUCGGUUCCAAUUUAGAAAUACUGGACAUAACAUGCGUACAGUCUAAUGAAGCUAUAUCUGUUGGGAAAGAUAAACAGCUCAAAAGAUUUCAAUUUACAUCGCACGAACUCCAUCAUGUUCAGACUAAUAAAAUGGAAUGCAGGAGUCACUACAUAGCCAUUCCUCCGAAAGUAAUGGAGGACCAGUCAACAAACGAAGCACAGGGACCGAAUUUACUUUGUGGUGUUUGUGGACAAAGCUCUGCCCAGACGUGUAGAUUAUGUUUUGCAAACUUUUGCUCGAGCCAUUUUCAUGCAGCAAUGGACGUGCAGCGUAUGGGUCCUCCAUUAAAGUGGUACUGUAGAGAUUGCAAGAAUCUCAUUUGUUACGAAAACGAUGGUCAGUAUAAACAUUACAACGUUGAAUCAUUUUUUGAUGUGUUAAAAGAAAAGAUAAUCCUAGAAAACGAACAGAUGAAAAGAGAAAUAAAGCCCUUCUAUGGAAAGGUACUAGAAUUCAUUUCGAAACAGAAAAUGGAGAUUCCUUACGCCUAUAAAACAGCCAAGGAACUUCUUGAUACAUGUGAACGUCUUUUACUUGAACAAGUAAAAAGUGCAGCACUAUACUUAGCAAAUGUCCUCGAAGUAAAACAAAGGACACAAAUGGCCCAUAUCGAACACCUUAAGAAUGUGUUUGAAGAAAAAAUGGACAACUUGGAAAGUGUUAUACAACAAAAUACAGAUUUACUGAUCUCAAACGACAAGUCAAAAUUGUGUAAAUUUGAAUCAAAAAUUGCUACUUUUCACACUUGUCCCGAAAUAACUGGACUCGAAAAACCAGUAUUCAAACCAAAUUUGCUAGUCCAUGAAAAUUUUCCCCACUUCAUGGGCGAAGUAACUCAUCAACGUUCAGAAGACUCCAUUAUUCACUUUGAUAUCAAAACCAAUAAUUUUGAAAGAACUCAGAAAAAUAUACAAGAGCAUCUUGUUGCUUUGAAGGCUUUGAAGAGUAACUCUCCGACGAAAGGUUUUUUUGAUAUUGCUUGUGUCGAUUCCAGUAGAGUUUUAACGAGCGGGGCAGAAAAACGAGUAGACAUGUUGGAUGCUAAUAUGACAGAUGAGAGCCGUAUCCAAACAUACAAAGUAUCAUGCAAAAGCCCAUAUAUUACUUUGUCGUCCUCUAUGGAGAUUUUUUACAGUGCUAGCAGAGACAAUACUAUAAAGAAAAUUGAAAGUUUGGACUCAAACGAAAUAACGACCAUUUUAUAUUUUGAAGUUGAAAGUUGAACCACGAGGACUAGCGUUCAACUCAUUUGGUCACCUCCUUGUUUGUGUGUACAGUAAAAAGGAUAAACGUUCUUUCGUCGAGCGCUAUGACAAAAAUAUGGAAAAGGUUCAAGAAAUCGAGCACAAUGGUGACAAAAAACUGUACGAGGAACCUUGCUUUGUGUGCUGCAAUCGGAAUGGCGACGUCUGUGUAGCAGACCACGGACUGAAUGCCAUCGUUGUUGUUGACCAGUUUGGGGUCUUCCAGUUCUCGUACCGGGGCCAAAACGUGAAAUCUUUCCGACCAUAUAGUUUGGCCACAGACCGUUUGUGUAACAUAGUGAUCACAGACAACGCUAACCACGAGGUUCACUUGCUGGAUAAAUAUGGCCAAUUUUUAGGAUUUCUGACGACUGGCCCAAAAAUUAAAAGACCAGGGGCAGUUGAUAUUGACGAAGAAGGAAAGGUGUGGAUUGGGGAAUCAAUGAGUGGGAAACUGCACGUGUUGAACUAUUUGGUCGAAAACAUGGUGAAACCUGAUGAUAUUUCGUCCAUGGGACGAAUUAAUUGAUUGAAACAACAUUGUAUCUGAAAUAGUGCAAUCUUAUGAAUCCUUUGCAAAGAAUCAACGUAUAUUAUUCAAUGCUUUUACAUAAAAUAUACUAUCUUGAUUUUAAUAAAAAUAUUUUAAGGUAUUCUUUAAGACCAUUAUUUUGUGAUAAAACCAGCG